CAGCAGCCGCGGUAAUACGUAGGGUGCGAGCGUUAAUCGGAAUUACUGGGCGUAAAGGGCGUGUAGGCGGCCUGGGGCGUCCCAUGUGAAAGGCCACGGCUCAACCGUGGAGGAGCGUGGGAUACGCUCAGGCUAGAGGGUGGGAGAGGGUGGUGGAAUUCCCGGAGUAGCGGUGAAAUGCGCAGAUACCGGGAGGAACGCCGAUGGCGAAGGCAGCCACCUGGUCCACUUCUGACGCUGAGGCGCGAAAGCGUGGGGAGCAAACCGGAUUAGAUACCCGCGUAGUCCCUGUCUCUUAUAC
rnacentral:rRNA from 1 species